CGCCUGCAGCAGGGAGUCUGAGACAGUGGUAAAUUAAAAUGAUGUGUACCAGCCAGAAUCCGAAUGCAGCUAAUGGAAGUGUUUUGGACAGGCCUGCCAAAAUGUUGUGUUCCAUCCUUGUGAGUUAUGUUUUAAAACUAUAUGAUUGUAGUAGCGCCGUGUUACACAGUGUGCGGAUGGUGUGGGUACCUUAACAGGAAAAUACUGCAAAUUGUGAGCACAUUCCUUCCGUUCCCAUGGGGAUGAUCGUCGUCUAAACAGUCUCAUUAAGGAGUAGGAAGCGCUGCUCUGUGUCACACUGUGUGGCAGCACUGUGACUGUGUGUGUCGGGGAGGAAAUGUGGCUGGGAUGGGCUUUGAAACAGCGUCUCAGCAGAGCGACGGAUUGAUACGUCUUGUAGAAACAAGUACAUUUGCCUGUAGGUGUAAGAUUUCAGGGGGGGACGCUUCAAUAUUUAGAACAUGUGCAUCUGUCCUCUGCAGGAAAAACAAGAAAGAUGAUUUUUUUUUUUUCCUGUCAAACACGGAUUUGUGUGAUUUGUUCUGAAAGUUUUGAACUUGAAAUGAAAUCUUCCUGAACCCCAUCUGGAUUCCAGGUAUACAUAAAAUAUUUAAAUGGCUUAAUUCAUCGUUGACAUGAAGAGAUGCACGUUAAACAAAAGACACAAACAAGAGAGUAUAUGAAGUCAAUGUAUGUGUUUACUCAACAGGAAUAAUAUAAAAUGAGAAAAGCUGAAUAAAUAUUUAAAAGUGGCACAGAAUGAGGGAGACUCCAUAAUAGUUGGGUUUGUCACCUGGUGCGGGAAUUUUGUGUUUUCGUUUGCCUAAAUAAAGACAUUCUGACCAGAAGAAAGAACAAAUUGGUGCAGAAAAAAUCACCAGAACUCACCACCACCACCAAUCCCACUCCACAAUGUUCAAACUACACUAUGCCAAUGAAUGUAGAUAUGAACUUUUUAAGAUAUGACUUUAUUUUGCCCUGAUUAUGUAAUCCAAAAUCCAAAACCUUACAGUGUGUAUCAGAAUGCUAGCAUGUUAGCAUUUAGCCUCAGCAGAGUCAUAGGUGAACUGGUGUGCUCAGGCUGCAGCAAAUGGGGAGGAGUGAAUGGAGAGAGAUUCAGGGUCUGCAAAGAAGUGUACAUUCUAGCAAAAUCAGGAGUUUAGAGUUAAAUCUAAGUCAUUUUCAUGUUUAAAAGUGUUAUUUUUGUGAAGAAAAAUACAUUUCAAAAUAUGCGACUAUGAUACACAGAGUUCUUAGGGGUUUAAUUACUGACCUGACACAAACUCAUCACUUUAACUUACAGGAUCUUUGCAUUUCUAAAAAAGCACUUUUUUGAUCUGUCACCUGGUGCCUGAUUUUAGAUACUUUGCAUAAAUAAAGACAUUCUCAACAGGAAAAAGAACAAAUUGGUGCAGAAAAUUCCCCAGAAAUCAGACCAGUGAGUUGCUACCUCUGUUAACGUUCCCUCCUGCAAAGUACAAAUUAAAUGUAUUCCUGUAGAUGAAAUUCUUUAAAUGUGACCUUAUUUCCUUAUUUUAUCUUGAUUAUAUAAUCCAAAAUCAAAACACAUCAUCCAUCAGAAUGGUAGCAUAUUAGCAUUUAGUCUCAGCAGAGUCAUAGGUGAGCUGGUGUGCUCAGGCAGCAGCGAAUGAGGAGAGGCUUAGAUGUGUACAUUCUAGAGAAAGUAAUAGUUUAGAGUGACAUCUAAGUCUUUUUAAAUGUUGAAAGGGUUAAUUUUUGUGGGAAAAAACUCAGAGUUUUUAUGGAUUUAGCUAUUGACCUGAGAAUGACUCAUUUUCACCUGCUGAGUGAUGCUCAUAUGCAAUUCAUUUUUAUUUGUAUAGCGUCAGUUCACAACAUACGUCAAAUAUAGCACUUUUGUCAUCUGGUUCCUGAAUUUAGUGUUUUCUUUUCCAUAAAUAAAGACAUUUUUACCAGAAAAAAAGAACAAAUUAGUGCAUUAAAUUAAUUCAAACUAAAUCUACUUUCCUUCCUACAGAGAUGAACUUCAUUAAAUGUGACUUUAUUUUGUCUUGAUUAUAUAAUCCAAAAUCAGCAGUGGACCAUGACUGACUCUCUGACGUGCCGCCAUGUGGGAACAAACCAUCUGAGCUGUGUUCGUGUUAAUACAUUUUUUCCUCCUGACUGGCAGAGCAGACAGAAGAGAAGACAUACUGUACCCAUCAGUGUGGCAGGAACAAGCUGCACUAGAAUACGAGCAGACGAGGAGAUGUUUGUGUAAAAUAGCUUCUCUUUGUUUCAGGUGCAUUUGUUCUGCAAGCUGCUACACUUGAAGAGCUUCACAAGGCUGUUGUGUCUGUGUGGCCCCCGGGGUCAAACAUCUACCUCGGUGAGUGUGUGUUGCUGCAGUGCACAGUGGAGCCCAACUCCAUCUCUGUGUGGAGCUACCGGUGGUACAAACUACACACUGCUGUGACCCCGAACCCCAGGCACCUGGUCUCUGGUGACAGCUACUCCAUCACCGCGGUAACGAGGGAGGAUGCAGGCAGCUAUUGGUGCAAAGCAGAGCGCAGGGAGGGCAACAGGACGGCUGCAAGGCUCAGCAGCCAGCCAGUCGUGCUCAUUGUGUCAGAUCUACUUCCUCCAUCCCUGACUCUGACUCCCAGCACCAAACAGAUCUUCAGAGGGGAACAUUUCACUUUGCAGUGUCCCUCGUCUCAGAUAAACCCCACAGGCUGGAAGCUGAGGCGUUUCCCUCCAGGAGAAACAAUGAAGACCAGAGUCCUCCAAUCUGAUCAGUGUACACCACUAGGGGGAGCUGUUAUUGCCGACAAGCCCGACUUGUGUGGCUUCACUGCUGCCACUGGGAGCAAUGGACUGUACUGGUGUGAGGACUCUGAGGGCCGCAGCAGCUCAGUCAACAUCACAGUAAGCUAUGGCAACAUCAUCUUGAAGACUCCAGCUUUUCCUGUGUUUGAAGGUGAUAAUGUGGUCUUGUACUGUCAGUUCUGGCAAGGCAACCACAAUAAAGCAACUUUCUUUAAAAAUGGAGCAGAAAUCUCCUCUUCCAGCUCUUCUGUUUCAGACAGAGUAAUAAAAAUGACAAUUGAGAAUGUGACACUGGAAGAUGAAGGUGCCUACAAAUGUGUAUCCAGGGACAGAAAGAUGGAGAGUCCAGAGGCCUGGUUAACAGUAAGAGCCGAUCGAGGUAAUUUCACAUCAGCAGAUGGAGCAGCAGCCUCAAUUGGUGGCUCCUGGAUUUGGAUCUUGGUGUCAUGUGUGGUUUUACUUCUGAUUCUCAUUCCUCUCAGUGUUUGGCUCGUUUGUCGCUAAAAGCACCAGAUGUUCAGCACUCAGAGCUGCUGGCCGCUUUCUAAAGAGAACAUACCAGCAGUUCCACUUCCAGCAACCAAGCAGGACGUGACUGAAGUGCAGUGGGAUCUGUCCUGGAUGGAGAUGUCCAAUCUGUUGGAUAAGAGCUUAUAUCCUGGCACUUAAACGUUCACUUUUACUUGAAGACAUUCACUCUUUUUUGUUAAUCUGGUUGCAUUUGAAGGUGUUGGCUUCACGUCUGAAUGAGAACCCUGUUUACUGCAUCCAGUCACCUUUACAGAUGGUCAUGUGAUUUUAGGGAGGCUUUUUUCUACAUUUUAGCAUCAAUUUUUAUCCAAAAAUCAUAGCAAGUAAAUAAACACAUAACAAAAACAUAGUUUGUGGGUCUGGAAUCAUAAAGCACCUUUCCUUUUCCCUUUGCUCUACAAUUUCACAUCUAUUACAAUCUGGAACACAAAAUAAACCUUUACUGCACUGGCAAAAGAGCCUGGAACUGGUCAGAUUAAUGAGACGCACCAAUAAUUCAUGUAAUCCAGGUUUAGACAAAAUGUUAACAGGAGGUGACAUUUAGUUUGUUGCAUCUAGCCGUUUGUAGGAGUCUUUCCUUUGAGUUUAAUACAUAUCUGCAGCAUCAAAGGAUCAUAUGAGCGUCUCCAAAGUUAGACAUUUUUAUUUUCAUGGAACAGACAGCACCAAUCAUUCAUUAAUUACUUAUUAAUUAUUAAAGUUUUUUUUUUUUUGGAAACAAAACACAUUGGAAAUUUCCCCUGAUGUGGGGAGUAUUAAAGGAUUAUCUUAUCUUUUAAGCACUAAAGAUUCAGCACAGAUAAUUAUAACUGAGCUCAAAAUCACAACUUUUGAAAAAAAGUCUCUUACUUGAAAUUUUUUAGAUUCAAGUAUAUUAGGUUUGUUUACUUAUCAACUACAUUUUGUGUUCAACUUUGUAUUAUAUUUCAAUUAUCAAUAUGCACAAUUCUACAUAGUUUGUAGUGCUAUGAAUUCAUCCUGCUGCGACGAACAAGAUAUUGAGCUUACAAGUUCAUGAAAACGUUAAUUAUUCUUUCAUAAAAGUUAAUUGACCUUAUUAUAAACCAUUACAUUUCUGAUUAUCAGUAUUCCAUUAGAUAAACAGGUUCAUCACUUUGGGAUCAUCGUAUAAAAGGCUCUGUCAUAUGUCUGCCAAAUGACCUUGUUUCUUCAGUGCUUCUUUCAGUUUUGAUUUGAUCAGAUCCUUUUUGUUUGUUCCUUUGAACUACUCGUGUUAUUUUUGUGCGUGUCGUCUCAUUUUUGUGACUUUUUAUACUUGAUUGCACCGUUGUGUAGAUGUUAUAGAGACACAAAGCAACUACAGAGGAACACAAUACAAGUCCAGAUUAAGCAGCUUUUCACUGCAGGAGCUCAGAGCAGGGUUAGAAUUACAGUUAAAGGAACGGCCUCUUAAUUGGCCCUUUACUAUUGUGGUGUAACAUCCGACAGCUUUGACUGUGGCGUUAACAACCGAGUCCACUAAGACAACAACAAAUAGAACUAACCGGACUUAACACCACUUCUAUGAGCAUGAAGGAAACAGAAGAAUGGAGAGUGCGAUAUUUUAGUCUAUAUGAGGAAUUCUAUACUGUUGAUGCUGUUUUUAGAGAGGAGAUGGCUGCUGCUUGAUGCACACGUGGAAAGAGUUGAAAAAAUGGUUAUUGUCCACUUUGAAUUAACCAAUCAGCAUCGAGACCUGCUUCGCAGAUUUUCAGGUCCGGGGUCAGGCGUAUACGGACUACUGAAAGAGGUUACAUUUGGAUACUUCUUGCAGUUGGAACCAGCUCCAAAGAUUCACCCUAAAACAGUCUGCAAGUCCCUUCUGUUGUCUUAUAAACUGCCCAUCAUCACUGUCCAGUUUCUGCUGUACUGAACUUUUGGUAUCUUUUAUUUUUUAAGAAGUGAGAGAGUCAAACCCUAUAGAGCAUAUAUAAACUCUGUACCUAUUCUUCGGGCAGAUAAUAGUCCAUUCUUCUCCAGCUGACUGUGUGAAAGACAGGUUUAUAAUCCCACAAUCCUCUGGAUGCUAAUUUGGGUCUGGAUUUAAAUGAUGCCUUUCAUUGCGGAGACCCUAUGCUUUUAUGUAUCUGCCGGGAUAAUUGCGAUGUCAUGGCACAUUGGAUGACUCAUUCUUGAACUACACAGUGCUUUUUUUUGUAAAUUAAAUACAUUCCUGCAAAAAUAAAUAGAUGUGCAUG